AGAGUUUGAUCCUGGCUCAGAUUGAACGCUGGCGGCAUGCUUUACACAUGCAAGUCGAACGGUAACAGGGAGCUUGCUCCGCUGACGAGUGGCGAACGGGUGAGUAAUGCAUCGGAACGUACCCAGUCGUGGGGGAUAACGUAGCGAAAGUUACGCUAAUACCGCAUACGUCCUGAGGGAGAAAGCGGGGGACCGUAAGGCCUCGCGCGAUUGGAGCGGCCGAUGUCGGAUUAGCUAGUUGGUAGGGUAAAGGCCUACCAAGGCGACGAUCCGUAGCGGGUCUGAGAGGAUGAUCCGCCACACUGGGACUGAGACACGGCCCAGACUCCUACGGGAGGCAGCAGUGGGGAAUUUUGGACAAUGGGCGAAAGCCUGAUCCAGCCAUGCCGCGUGAGUGAAGAAGGCCUUCGGGUUGUAAAGCUCUUUCAGGUGGAAAGAAA
rnacentral:rRNA from 1 species